GUCCAUAAUGACUUAGGUGUUCGGUGUUUUUGUGGGACAAAAAAAAUCGGUAGGUCUUUUGUUUGUUCAGUAGGCCUAACGCAACCAGCACCGCUGCCCUCCCUCUCCCAGCUCCCACCCUGACGCAACUUGCAGAGACGUUUGUUACAUUUGGAUCACGCGCGCACUGUCCUAGUUCAGCCAGCCGCCCGCGCCAGAGAGAGCCGAGGUCGACUCAUCCCGAAGUAGCUGACGGUCGACUCACCCCGAAGAAGCUCAAAUGUCCUUCUCUUUCGUGAGGAUUUCGCAACUAGCAAAAACUCAGUGCAGUGGAAUGCCCGGAGGUCCUGGUCAACAAAAGAAAAGGGAAGUGACCGAACCUGAAGAAGUCAAACUACUGUCCGGAUUCUCCACAAGGGCAAAAUGCUGGAGUGAUGGAGGGGCAUUUAGAUGGAGGUAAUGAAGAAAGACCCAGACAACACAACAGUGGAUGAAGUGAUGUCUGCUACUUUCUCGCUUCGCCGUAAAGAAACAGUUGGGGAUCAACCCAUGGUUGCCGACAGCAUGGAGAGAUGGCCGGCCAUGUUUUCUGAACGACAGGUAUACCAAAGACAACCUAGCGUUUGAGAUUAACCAAUUAGUCCAAUGUUCUUUAGAUCAAGAGUGUGAAACUCAGGCACGGGGGCUAAA